rnacentral:lncRNA from 1 species
GUACAAGUGGACCGUUAACUCAUUUAUGCUGCUCUAUGUGUAGGAUGGUCUCUGAUCUCUUUCUUGGAUCUGCCAGGAUAUGAACUGACACCGGGGCUGGACUGUCCUUUGUGCUGUGCUCUGCGCAACACAACUUGAAGCACAUACUCAGACUAUCAUACACACAUGCACAGUGAUACGUGUGGUGUUACAAGGGCAGAAAACAACGUGUCUACUAGUGAUGUCGUAGCCAGAAGAAACAACAUGUCCUUCCAGCACAGAUGGCAAGUUUCAUUGGGGAUCUUGCUUGUGAUAGCAGGCCUAGUGCUCUUUAUGACAAUGCAUAUGUACAAGGAUAUGUACAUUGUUCUCAUUAGCAUACCUAUAGUGUGUCUGGGCCUUUUUAUUCUCAUCCGUGCCUUCUGCAUGGUCAUUAAAUCCAGUCAUGUAGCUGUGCCGGGUCACUUCCUUCUACACCCGCGAACAGGCACCCGUUACACCCACCAUCAAGCCAUUGCGGUGCAAAGGAGGCUGGAUCGCAUCCGGAGGGCUACGGCAGAGGAGCAAAGUCCAGUCCAAGUGCCUCCCACCUCAGACAUCAGUCCACAGAGCCAACCUGCAACCCCUCCCCCCUGGCAAAUGGAGCCGCCGCCGUCUUAUGAGACUGUUAUGAAGACCACUACAGUAGUAAACCAAGUAUAACCACUGGUUUGACUGUAGACACCGACACGUUAUGAUUGAAAAGUUGGUUUAAUUGGGGGUGCACAGAUAGUAAAAAUCUGUCAGUCACAGUUAAGCCAGUAAUUAUUUUCGUUUUAUGGCUGAUAGCUGAUAAAUGGCCAUAUUAAACUCUAUUCUACAUAAAUAAAUAAAUACUUUAAAUGCUACAACUUAAUGUAGGCAUCAAAACAGCAAUGGGAUGAAAGAUGGAUAUUUUUCUUUUUUUGCAGUAUGAAAGGUGAAUAUUUAUCCAUAACUUUCAUUUUUUAGAUCUGCAACAAAAAGUUGGUUUGAAUGAAAAAAACUUAAGUAACAUGUUUAUGCAUGAAUGCACA